GACGAACGCUGGCGGCGUGCCUAAUACAUGCAAGUAGAACGCAGUUGCGAACGGGUGAGUAACGCGUAGGUAACUGCCUCAUAGCGGGGGAUAACUAUUGGAAACGAUAGCUAAUACCGCAUACUGUGAGAUGGACCUGCGUUGUAUUUGCUAGUUGGUGAGGUAAAGGCUCACCAAGGCGCCGAUACAUAGCCGACCUGGGAGGGGGGACGGGCCACCUGGGAAUUGGUAGCGGCCCAAGCUUCUACGGGAGGAAGGAGUAGGGAAACUUUGGAAAUGGACGGAAGGCUGAACGAGCAACGCCGCGGGGGAGGAGAAGGUGUUCGGGUCGUAAAGCUCUGUUGUUAGAGAAGCGGUAACUACCCAGAAAGGGACGGCUAACUACGUGCCAGCCGCCGCGGUAAUUC
rnacentral:rRNA from 1 species